GUUAUCCCUAAACGUUAGCAUCACUUGUUAACUCUGAAAAAAACUUUAUAGUAUGUUAACGUACUUGGUUAUUCAAAUAGCCAGUAUACAUCACAGUAAUUUAUUUUAAAAUAAAUCAGUGGAUUGACAGAUAUUUUCAAGGUGCUCAUUGCAUACUGAAGAGUAUGAAGUACACGGUUCAACUAACAUUCCAAUGAUUGUUACAUUAAAUAUUUUCUUGAGGCAUUUGUUGAUUGAGCUGGUCACAUCCGAUGAUUGCCUUCCGUAGAGAUCCUGCUUGGAAACAAAAUUUAAUAGAGCAUGUCGUGUAGCUAUGCUGUCACCAGGGCCAAAUCUCACAUUAGGUAGAUACCUGGGGGCAUCUGCAAGGUAUGGGAACAAAAGAAACUUGUUUUCAAUUCUUCUUUGUGAAUUC